GAAUUCGCCCUUAGAGUUUGAUCCUGGCUCAGGACGAACGCUGGCGGCGCGCCUAACACAUGCAAGUCGAACGGAGAUCAUUCAGUAGAAGUUUUCGGAUGGACACCGAGUGAUCUUAGUGGCGAACGGGUGAGUAACGCGUGAGCAAUCUGCCUCAGAGUGGGGGACAACAGUUGGAAACGACUGCUAAUACCGCAUAAGCCCACAGCACCGCAUGGUGCAGGGGGAAAAGAUUUAUUGCUUUGAGAUGAGCUCGCGUCCAAUUAGCUAGUUGGUGAGGUAACGGCCCACCAAGGCGACGAUUGGUAGCCGGACUGAGAGGUUGAACGGCCACAUUGGGACUGAGAUACGGCCCAGACUCCUACGGGAGGCAGCAGUGGGGAAUAUUGCACAAUGGGGGGAACCCUGAUGCAGCGACGCCGCGUGGAGGAAGAAGGUCUUCGGAUUGUAAACUCCUGUUGUUAGGGACGAUAAUGACGGUACCUAACAAGGAAGCACCGGCUAACUACGUGCCAGCAGCCGCGGUAAUACGUAGGUGGCAAGCGUUAUCCGGAAUUAUUGGGCGUAAAGAGUGAGCAGGCGGUUGCGUAAGUCUGAAGUCAAAUCCUGUGGCUUAACCACAGUUCGCUUUGGAAACUGCGCGGCUAGAGUGCGAGAGAGGUAAGUGGAAUUCCAUGUGUAGCGGUGAAAUGCGUAGAUAUAUGGAGGAACACCAGUGGCGAAGGCGGCUUACUAGCUCGAUACUGACGCUCAGUCACGAAAGCGUGGGUAGCAAAUAGGAUUAGAUACCCUAGUAGUCCACGCCGUAAACGAUGAGAACUAAGUGUUGGGGAAACUCAGUGCUGAAGUUAACACAUUAAGUUCUCCGCCUGGGGAGUACGCUCGCAAGAGUGAAACUUAAAGGAAUUGACGGGGGCCCGCACAAGCGGUGGAGCAUGUGGUUUAAUUCGACGCUACGCGAAGAACCUUACCAGGGCUUGACAUCUGGCUAAAUACCCUAGAGAUAGGGGGAUAGCUAUAGCCAAGACAGGUGGUGCAUGGUUGUCGUCAGCUCGUGUCGUGAGAUGUUGGGUUAAGUCCCGCAACGAGCGCAACCCUUGUCCUUAGUUGCCAUCAUUCAGUUGGGAACUCUAAGGAGACUGCCGAUGUAAGUCGGAGGAAGGUGGGGAUGACGUCAAAUCAUCAUGCCCUUUAUGCCCUGGGCUACACACGUGCUACAAUGGCCGGUACAAAGAGACGCGAAACCGCGAGGUCAAGCAAAUCUCAUAAAGCCGGUCUCAGUUCGGAUUGGAGUCUGCAACUCGACUCCAUGAAGCUGGAAUCGCUAGUAAUCGCGAAUCAGCAAUGUCGCGGUGAAUACGUUCCCGGGCCUUGCACACACCGCCCGUCA
rnacentral:rRNA from 1 species